rnacentral:rRNA from 1 species
UACGGGGGGGGCAAGCGUUGUUCGGAAUUACUGGGCGUAAAGGGCUCGUAGGCGGCUAACUAAGUCAGAUGUGAAAUCCCUCGGCUUAACCGGGGAACUGCGUCUGAUACUGGAUGGCUUGAGGUUGGGAGAGGGAUGCGGAAUUCCAGGUGUAGCGGUGAAAUGCGUAGAUAUCUGGAGGAACACCGGUGGCGAAGGCGGCAUCCUGGACCAAUUCUGACGCUGAGGAGCGAAAGCCAGGGGAGCAAACGGG